rnacentral:sRNA from 1 species
GUGAUAUUGUCAUCCUUACAAAACCACUCGUGGUGUCUAAAGGUGAUAGAGGUUUCUUAACAACCACCACUCUCCUGGCUGUGGACGGAACAGACAAGCCUGAGGAACUGCUCUAUGUCAUCACCUCCCCUCCACGAUAUGGCCAGAUCGAAUAUGUUCACUAUCCUGGAGUUCCCAUUACAAGCUUCAGCCAAAUGGAUAUAGUGGGGCAGACAGUUUGCUAUGUACACAAGAGCAAGGUGACUGUCUCCAGUGACAGAUUCAGUAGAUGGUGACACAAGAAUCCAUGCUGAAGGCUGCCUUGCCUCUCUUUACCAGAUUCAUCAUCAGCAAUGGACUGCGGACCGAGCAUGGGGUGUUUGAGAUCACACUGGAGACUGCGGACAGAGCCCUGCCUGUGGUAACCAGGAACAAGGGGUUGAGACUGGCCCAAGGGGCUGUGGGCCUGCUUUCCCCUGACCUCCUUCAGCUGACCGACCCUGAUACACCUGCGGAGAACCUCACCUUCCUCUUGGUUCAGCUCCCCCAGCAUGGCCAGCUCUACCUGUGGGGGACAGGGCUACUUCAACACAAUUUUACCCAGCAGGAUGUGGACAGCAGGAAUGUGGCCUAUCGGCACUCAGGAGGGGACUCCCAGACUGACUGCUUUACUUUCAUGGCCACAGACAGCACAAACCAAGGCUUUAUUGUGAAUGGGAG